rnacentral:rRNA from 1 species
AGUGAGGAAUAUUGGACAAUGGAGGCAACUCUGAUCCAGCCAUGCCGCGUGCAGGAAGACUGCCCUAUGGGUUGUAAACUGCUUUUAUACAGGAAGAAACCGCUCUACGUGUAGAGCUCUGACGGUACUGUAAGAAUAAGGAUCGGCUAACUCCGUGCCAGCAGCCGCGGUAAUACGGAGGAUCCAAGCGUUAUCCGGAAUCAUUGGGUUUAAAGGGUCCGUAGGUGGAUAAUUAAGUCAGAGGUGAAAGUUUGCAGCUUAACUGUAAAAUUGCCUUUGAUACUGGUUAUCUUGAAUCAUUAUGAAGUGGUUAGAAUAUGUAGUGUAGCGGUGAAAUGCAUAGAUAUUACAUAGAAUACCAAUUGCGAAGGCAGAUCACUAAUAAUGUAUUGACACUGAUGGACGAAAGCGUAGGUAGCGAA